rnacentral:lncRNA from 1 species
CGUGAUCUUGAUCUUAGGAGCAUGAAAAGUCUCUUAACAAGGGUCAACAAGACUUGACGACACUCAACACAAAGCAAAUAGCUUAUGUGGAAAGAUUGCAAUUGUGUAAAGUAGAUAUGGCUGUGGUAGGAAUUCAUCACCAUUGAGGAACAAUUAAGGUUUUGAUCAUUUUAAGAAUAAAUCUCUGAUAAUCAUGCAUGCUUAGAAAAAUAUUAUAGUAGCUCUUCUCUUACUAUCUCAUGUCCCACAACAACUUAGACUUAGUUCUAGCACUUGCAACCCACAAAGUUUUUAGGUUCAUGGCCGUUUAAGUGAGCUAAGUGAUCCAUACUUAGAGAAAUACUAAGUUGUAUACUAGGUACUAGAGAAACACUAACAAGCAACUAGUCAUAAUUUCCAUGAGGGAUAUAAACAUACAUGAAGCAUAUAUGCUAAAGGGAAAUGCUAAUAAAUAUUUAUUUAUUUAUUUUUUUAAGUAAGAAUGAUAAAAUGCAUGAAAAUAAAUAGGAUAGAAUACUUACCUUAGUGGGGGAGAGGAUCUCCCCCAAGCUAGAUCUUCGCUCACUGUGGUGGCGGGAAAUUCUGGUACCAUCCAGCCCAGCGUUGUGCGUCUUCCUCUCGCACACGUCGGAUAUGUUGGCCGU